GGGGAACCAGACCCGAUCUCUGCGGAGUGUAGCAAGUUAGUGUCGAGGGCUGCCCGGGAGAAAAGUGCUGGAUGGUCUAGCCCCAUCCCUUCAGCCACUCUGUUCUACAUGCCAACCGUGUGCCUAGCAUUCAGGCUGUGGAAAAGCAGAAAGUACCCUGUGUGGUCUCAGGAACCUCUCUGCCAAUAUACCAGCUUACCUACUGCGAAGGAAGGUGGGUCUAUGACGAUCACAGAACACCAGCCAUGGCCGCAAGCAACCAUUUAGAUAAAUACAGCACACCCAGCAUGCUUUAACCAUUUGACAAGGGAAUCUGAGAGUUCUUUCCUGGAAAGAGGCUAGCUUGGGAUCUAAGACAUCCUCCCCCCGCCCCCCAUAGGUAGCUUACUGCAGUCAGUCAAGGGCUGAGUUCACAUCACAUUUGAUGGACUAAUAAGACAUACAGACCUGGAGAACUAAGGACUGGACUUCACUAUAUACGGCUCUGAGGCCUGCUUCUCCUCUCCCAUCCUCUGAGGCCAGAGAUGGACGGAGGGGAUGCUGCCUGCCGUGUUUCCCCACCCUGGGAUUCCAAGGGUGCCAGUAACCAUUAGCAGCCUCCAAGGGCUGAAGCAGAAGAUGAGAGGUAGCAUUCAGCAAAAGAAAAGGCUCAAUCAAUGGCCUAGCCACCCAGGCUCGCCCCAAACCCAGGAAGCUUCUCAGGGAUGCCCUACCUUCCAGCCCCAGGAGGACACGGGGAGGCCCUCCUCUCCUGAUUGUCCCAGGUGAUGGGAAGGAACUGCCUCUGCUCCGGUCUCCCACUGGGCCCAGAAUGUGGAACAGGUAUCCACAUUCUUCUUGCUGUCCACUCCAGCAAGAGGCCAAGUUUAGAGGGCCACCCAGGGACAAGCCUUUCAGCACCCCGCCCCCCAAACAUUGUUACCAGUUAGCCUCUUGCACUGACUGUUGGGGGCAACCGUGUCUUUCAGACAACCCCAUUCUUUUCUCAGGCCACACCACCACCACAGCUGCCACCACGCCAGAUCCAGGGUGCAAGAGAGCUCAACUGCACCGCUCCAGGCAGGCUGCAAGCUGGGCUCAGCUCUGCUGACUCACCUCUCUCCCACCUGCUCCCCUUUCGCAGCCCUCCCACCCGCUUCCCAGCUCCGUGUGCAGCUCCUCUGAUCUCUCUCUCUCUCCUUCCCUGCUCUCCUGGUGGCUGCAUCUGGGGGCGGCGAGCAGCUUCGAUACCUUGGUGCUCAGUCAUGCAAACUGGUUAGCAGCUGCGGGGACUUUUGGAGGUGCCACCACGCCCUUUUCUGCUCAGCCCGGGGAAGAUGGGCCAGCCUUGUCUAGCCUAGAGCCUGCUCUUCAGUCUGGAAGAGAGAUCACGAAGGACUUGAAGGGAGCACAGGUGUAGGAGGGGAGGGAAGGGCAGGAGGGUGUGGUCUCACUGAAGCUCCGCCCCCGCACCUGCCGGCUGCCUGGAAAAACUACCAUUCAAGAGUAAUCUUGGCUCGCCAUGGCUUCCUCCGAGAUGGCUUCUGGAGUUUUCCUUAGGAACUUAAAACAGCUUAGAGAGAACUAGAGAGGAGCCCAGGUGGCAUUCAGCUACGAAUUGUCACUAUAAGGCCUUUCUUGGAUCAUGCAGGCUUCUUCCUGCAUGUAGCUUCUCUCAUCUUUUCUGGAUAUGGGCUGUUCUGGGCAGUAUUGUAUGUUUUGUUAGUUUUGUUUGUUUGUUUUAAAGACUAGGUCUCAUGUAGCCCAGGCUGGCCUCAAACUCAGUGUGUAGCUAAAGAUGAUUGUGAACUCUGGACCCUCCCGCUUUUGCCUCCCAAGGGCUAAUGUUAAAGGUGUGGGUACCAUCACUCCCAGGCAAAUCUUCCAUUUUUGGAGUUUGACAGGAGCAGAUGGAUCUCUGUGAGUUCCAGGCUAGCCUGGUCUACCUGGCAAGUUCCAGGACAGCCACAUACGAAGACUUUAUCUCAAAAAGCAAACAAACCCCAAAGAUGAAAGACUGGAGCAUUCACAUCCUCCCAUGAAAAUAAGCUACACCUUUUAAGGAUGGGAAGGUUUUAACACCCCAGCUUCCCUCCUGGUGUGAGGAGGAAGGACAGCGAUCAAGGGACAAUGAAGUCAAGACCCUUGGCACCCCAUGUCCCCCAACUGGGAGGGAAGACUGAGAGGCAGAGGCUCCUAGGUUGGAAUUUUGCCCUUGGGACUUGGCAGCUGUGUGACCUUGGGCAGGUAAAUUUGUCCGUGUGUGUGUGUGUGUGUGUGUGUGUGUGUGUGUGUGUGUGAUAUUCAUAUAUCUAUCUUCAUUUUGUAUGAACUAAAUGAGAGCCUGUGUGUGACUGGGCAUGGCAGGUAUGGGGGUCUGGUGUUAAAUGAUCUAAAUCAUCUAAAUAAAUGUGAGUGGCCUUUGGAAACAGUUUGAUCAACUUAACAAUAAAUGACACAAUUAGUGUG
rnacentral:lncRNA from 1 species